rnacentral:miRNA from 1 species
GCAGACACAUUCCAGCCAAUCAGCAGCAGACCCUCCCUCCCAGACCCUCCCACCUCCUGGACAGCAUCCAUUUUGAAGCUGCAUUCUUAGUGAUGCUGUCCAGGAGGUGGGAGGGUCUGGGAGGGAGGGUCUGCUGCUGAUUGGCUGGAAUGUGUCUG